UAUAGAAUUCUUAUGAAUCAAGCCUUAAUGGUUGUAGUCACCAAGUCAUGUUCGAAUUCUUUUCCUAAAUUAUAAUCUAUAAUAAUAUUUUUUUAUUAUAUAUAUAUAUUUUUCUUUUCUUUAUAUAUAUAUAUAUAUUUUUUUUUUUUUGAAAAUAAAUAUCUCUACCUAUAAAUCUAGGUUUGAAAUAGAGAGAGAGAGAGGGUGACAUAUCUACACAAGGUUUUACCUUUCAGGCUUGUUUGAAGAAUCCGAUCCCAUGUAUACCAAGCCCCAAGACAAGCAGUUGUGUCAGGUUUAGUGUUGGAGGUCAGCUUUGGUUCCUGUAAACAAUCUGAGCAAGUGUAAAUAGUUGAUAGAUUGAUCCACAUAAGCAUCUUUAGUACUAUAUGCAAUCAAUAAGUUUAGAAUGGUGCUAAAAAAUGGUUAGAUAACAAACAAAAUCUAAUAAGUUCAUUAUCCCCUUCUUGACUCAAUAAAAUAUUUUGAAAACAUUUUGAUAAAACUUAUGAACACACUAAUAUCAGUAAACAUCCCCCAGACUUAAAUUACAAUGUCCCCAGUGUAUAUCUAGUUGGAGUUAUGGUGAGAAAUUAUCAUAAGUACAUAAUUUAACAAGUAAGAACGAUGACCUGCCUAGUGUGAUCGACACAGUGAAGUGACAAUCGAUCGUUGUUGAUGAAGUGUUGUCGACUGAUAGCGACAUGGUCUCAUCGGUCGAUGGCUAGAGAAAUCAUUCGACACAAUGAAGAGACAAUCGAUCAUUGGAUCUGAAGUGCUGUCGAUCGAUAUCGAGCUGGUCUCAUCGGUCGAUGUACUGAACAAUCGUCUACUCGGAUCUGUUUUUUU
rnacentral:lncRNA from 1 species